AGGAGACUGGCACUCAAAGUACAGUGCGCCCCUUUAUCCACCAAUCUGAUGAUGGUGUUAGACUCUCUGUGGAGGAGACUGGCACUCAAAGUACAGUGCGCCCCUUUAUCUGCCAGUCUGAUGAUGGUGUUAGACUCUCUGUGGAGGAGACUGGCACUCAAAGUACAGUGCGCCCCUUUUCUUACUGAACUGAUGAAAGUGUUAGUGUGGCACAAUGCAGUAUUGAAUCAGCACACUCCAGCUGAACGUUGUGCAUGUAUUAGCUGU